rnacentral:rRNA from 1 species
CCUACGGGAGACAGCAGUGAGGAAUAUUGGUCAAUGGACGCAAGUCUGAACCAGCCAUGCCGCGUGCAGGAUGACGGCCCUAUGAGUUGUAAACCUCUUUUGUACGAGGGUAAACGCAGAUACGCGUAUCUCUCUGAAAGUACCGUACGAAUAAGGAUCGGCUAACUCCGUGCCAGCAGCCGCGGUAAUACGGAGGAUUCCAGCGUUAUCCGGAUUUAUUGGGUUUAAAGGGUGCGUAGGCGGUCGGAUAAGUUAGAGGUGAAAUCCCGAGGCUCAACCUCGGAAUUGCCUCUGAUACUGUUCGGCUAGAGAGUAGUAGAGGUAGGCGGAAUGUAUGGUGUAGCGGUGAAAUGCAUAGAGAUCAUGCAGAACACCGAUUGCGAAGGCAGCUUACCGGGCUACUUCUGACGUUGAGGCACGAAAGCGUGGGGAGCAAACAGGAUUAGAUACCCGAGUAGUC